rnacentral:lncRNA from 1 species
CAACAUAGAAAAUUUGAUCCAAUACUAACCAAUAUGAUGCACUUUCCUUAUUUAAAACCCUCCAAGCAAAUCAAGCUAUUGUUAUAAUUGGGAUGCACUUUUCUUUCCUUGAAACCAAAUGACACUAUCCCUAUGUUUGGUGCAGAGAGUCCCCUUUGUGAAUCCAUGGCUUUUGGCUUUGAUCUUGCUAAGAGAUCACAAAAUUGGUCCGAAAAUGGAUUUUAUGGGCGAGGAAACAGAAACCAUGUACACCAUGGGAGAAGAGAUAUAGGUAAGGAUCGCUCAAGUAGAUCUUUUUGAAUUCCUAUAACUUUUGGGUUCAAUUUAGUAGAGGUGGUGUUGGAGUUUAGAAGGAAUAAAAGUGGAAGGUGAUGGUGAUGGUUCGAUUUAGUGGAGGUGGUUUUGGUUUUCGGGUGGCUGUGGGUUUGGUGGUGGCGACUGGCAGCUUUGGAUUAUGGUUUGGUUGGAGAGGUGGGGUUGAAGGUGGGGGCAUGGAAGAAGAAGAAAAUUGGGGUGCGUUUUUUUUUUUUAGUUUAAUUGUUAAUAAUGUUGAAAAAUAUUUGCUAAUUCGAAAGUUACCAUUU